AAGUGUGUUGUGAAAUGUAGACGCUCAACGUCUGACUUGCAGCGCAUACUGGUUUCCUUGAGUACGCACAACGUUGGCGGAAUUCGUCGUGUAGCGGUGAAAUGCUUAGAUAUGACGAAGAACUCCGAUUGCGAAGGCAGCUGACGGGAGUGCAACUGACGCUGAAGCUCGAAGGUGCGGGUAUCGAACAGGAUUAGAUACCCUGGUAGUCCGCACAGUAAACGAUGGAUGCCCGCUGUUGGUACCUGGUAUCAGCGGCUAAGCGAAAGCAUUAAGCAUCCCACCUGGGGAGUACGCCGGCAACGGUGAAACUCAAAGGAAUUGACGGGGGCCCGCACAAGCGGAGGAACAUGUGGUUUAAUUCGAUGAUACGCGAGGAACCUUACCCGGGCUUGAAUUGCAGAGGAAGGAUUUAGAGAUAAUGACGCCCUUCGGGGUCUCUGUGAAGGUGCUGCAUGGUUGUCGUCAGCUCGUGUCGUGAG
rnacentral:rRNA from 1 species